CCUACGGGGAGCAGCAGUGAGGAAUAUUGGUCAAUGGACGAGAGUCUGAACCAGCCAAGUAGCGUGAAGGAUGACUGCCCUAUGGGUUGUAAACUUCUUUUAUAUGGGAAUAAAACGUUCCACGUGUGGGAUUUUGUAUGUACCAUAUGAAUAAGGAUCGGCUAACUCCGUGCCAGCAGCCGCGGUAAUACGGAGGAUCCGAGCGUUAUCCGGAUUUAUUGGGUUUAAAGGGAGCGUAGGUGGAUUGUUAAGUCAGUUGUGAAAGUUUGCGGCUCAACCGUAAAAUUGCAGUUGAAACUGGCAGUCUUGAGUACAGUAGAGGUGGGCGGAAGUCGUGGUGUAGCGGUGAAAUGCUUAGAUAUCACGAAGAACUCCGAUUGCGAAGGCAGUUCACUGGACUGCAACUGACACUGAGGCUCGAAAGUGUGGGUAUCAAACAGGAUUAGAUACCCCUGUAGUC
rnacentral:rRNA from 1 species